CCAGCUGGACUGGGGAGAGAAUUGGAAGGAUAAAAGCUACAGAACUUGUGGGUUGAGAUAAAGACAGUGUAAUAGGGAAAGCAAAAGCCAUGCACACAAGCAAAGCAAAACAAGGAAUUAGUUCGCUGCUUCCCAUGGGCAGACA